rnacentral:rRNA from 1 species
UACGUAGGGUGCGAGCGUUAAUCGGAAUCAUUGGGCGUAAAGCGCGCGCAGGCGGAUCAGAAAGUCAGAUGUGAAAUCUCGAAGCUCAACUUCGAAACUGCGUCUGAAACUGCUAGUCUAGAAUGUCGGAGGGGAUAGGGGAAUUUCACGUGUAGGGGUAAAAUCCGUAGAGAUGUGAAGGAACACCGGAGGCGAAGGCGCCUAUCUGGACGACUAUUGACGCUGAGGCUCGAAAGCGUGGGGAGCAAACAGG